UUCCUGUAAGUUGGGAACACAUGUCAGCAAACAAAUACAAACAAUUAAAAAUGCUUGAAAUAAAUACAUUCGUAUUUCAUCACUGAAACAAAUAGAUCUUGCAAAUAAAAUAGCAAUCAUUCAACUAAUGUCAUUAAUAUGGUCGAGAGAAAACUACUAAUGUAAUAAACAUACUAGUAUGUGGCAUUUCAAACGCAGCGUCUGUUUUAUAGUGGUCUUUUUUUUUGCACUUUCCAGGGUAAACACAUUUGGCUAGCGGAGAGUCAUGAUGCAAAAAGCAAAUUUAGGUUUUCAACUAUGUCAAAGAUUAAAUAACAAACAGAUCCAACUAAAUUUUGUCUUCAAUACCAAUUCAAUAUGAAUCAAAGCAAUUUUUUUUUGUGUGGUUAGAAAUGUCUUCAUCUUAUCUCAAAACACAAUAUCAACAUGGUCAAUUAACUCAGCAUACAAGUUUGAAUAAUUACCAUCAAAAAAAAAAAAAGUAAAGAAU